rnacentral:rRNA from 1 species
UACGUAGGGGGCUAGCGUUGUCCGGAAUCAUUGGGCGUAAAGAGCGUGUAGGCGGCCCGGUAAGUCCGCUGUGAAAGUCGGGGGCUCAACCCUCGGAUGCCGGUGGAUACUGUCGGGCUUGAGUACGGAAGAGGCGAGUGGAAUUCCUGGUGUAGCGGUGGAAUGCGCAGAUAUCAGGAGGAACACCAACGGCGAAGGCAGCUCGCUGGGACGGUACUGACGCUGAGGCGCGAAAGCGUGGGGAGCGAACAGG